GUUUAAAAAUAAUUGUCAGAUACACGCACGCAAGUAUUCGCGAUGUCAGUACGGCUGGGCUGCUCGCACUCAGUUGUAUAUUUUGCGUUCUAAAUAAACCAAGGGGUUUAUCAAUACACAAAUCACGUAUUUAAAGCAACGAGGUGACGGUGAAUCCUAGGCAUACAUUGUGUGAGAUUUUGUAGUACUACCUUGUGCUAAUGUUUUUCUACAGGUAGAUGAUCAACGUGAUCGUUCUAAAGCCAAAUCCGACACGGCCUUAUAUAAGCAAUAACCAAAUCGACAAGCCGAGAAAGUGCUAAGGGUGUUGCGCGCAUGCCUGAGGACUGACAAAUAUUUUUGUUGUGAAACAUCAUUGAAUCGCGAAAAGAGGAAACGAAUUUGCAAAGUUAUUAAGACGCAAAGCAAAGAAAUGAAGAAAGUAUAAGUUUUGGUUUUGAUUUGACUCUUAAUAGUUGUUUUGAGAUUGAUACAAAAGUUGUUCAGCUCCAAGAAGUGAAGUAAAAUGUCCAAAAAGUUACCCGUUCGCACACUGAGCGAACUGACGCUGGCAGAGUUGGCCGGUACGAUCGUUGGCUCGAUCGGAACCAUGGUGCAGACGAGCCUUGCGUUUGGUAUUCCACCCGACUACACGCUGUUGAUGGUUGAGAUCAACUCCUAUAUGGACAACAUGGGAGCUACAAGCAACAUCUACGAGGAUCUGCUGCGCGUUAUCCUUUGUUCCGACUCGCUUGACGCUUCGAUGCGCUUCUGCUGCCUGCAGAUGCUACUGAACGAAGGCGUACAGUGUCUGGUAACGGAUAUCUUCCCCCUAGCCUACUACGAGCGCAUACUGCAGGUGAUUGCUGCGCAGGGUCGUGGUCUGCGCCAGCUAAACAUGAAAGGAGUGUGGGUGAAGGAGGAGUGCAUGUGUUUCAUGUUUGAGAUUGUGAAGCGUUUACCGCACCUUACCAGACUGACCAUCCCGCACAUCGCGAACGAUAAUCUGCUGAAGCAUAUCGCCGACUACAGCCGCUGUAUGAGACAGUUGGACAUUAGCGGCGAAACGGACAUAACGGAGAUUGGCAUCGAGUAUCUGUGUUACGGCGAGUGCCGAAACCAUCUCACCGUUGUGGAUAUUGGUUCGCUCGGGGAAGAAAAUAUAUGCCACACGGAUGUGGCCUUGCUACUCCAGAACCUGCCAAACCUGGCUACGCUGAAGUCAUACUCGUUCGUUGGUCGUAGCCUGCAGUACAUCGUCGAGAAGAAGGAUGCCAACUUCAAGUGUCGGUUGGUGUACGUACACGACAUGGAAACGGACGCCGCAACACUGGAUGCAAUCGUACGUACCUGUCCACGGCUGGAGGACAUCUAUCUCGAUUCGCCCGAGGCAGGCAUACUGGAGAAGCUGAGUUCGGUGAAACUACGCCGCUUGAAGCUGUACAAGUUCAGUGCCUACGAAUUGCUGGGGCUGGCGGAGCACAAUGGCAAAUCGCUGUACCAUCUGACCGUAAUCAAGGGGUAUGGUCCACUCGAGAUCGACCGGCUUGUGCGCUCCUGUCCGAAUCUGAUCGAUCUCGACUUCUACAUGAUGGAUUCGCUGACGUUUGCGGGCGACAGCAGUUUCACCAAUCUGCAAGGGUUGGAAAUUUUGAGCAGUCCGAUACAGAAGCCAAGCCUGCGUCGUUUCAUUUGUCAUACGACGACGCUACGUCGGCUGGCGGUGGAUGCAGUCACCUUUUCCGAUGAGGACAUCAGCUCGAUGGUGAUUGAGCACGAUUUCUAUCAGCUGGAGGAUGUUUGGUUCACAUCGGCCCCAUAUCUAUCGAUUGCUUCUGUAGAGAUUCUGAUGGAUCGCUGCCCAGAGCUGCAGAGCGUUGGUCAACUGAGCGGAUGGGCAUUGACGCCCGAUGACGUGACGUUACUUCGCGGGAUACUGAAAAGCUGCAACUCCUCUCUGGUGCUGAACACGUACCAGCCCCGAAGGAAAGCUAGACACCCCGUAUCGUGGAUCGUAAUGCGACGCGACUGAUCGUUGUACCGGUUAAGCAAAUAAAGUUCCAUCUGUACUGUGUACUCGAAUGCAAAACGCGCUCUCUGGGAUAAUACAAUCACUUUGACGGCGUACCAAGGGCGUUAUUUGCUUUGCAGAACGGCACAUUGGGAGUUUACGAGCGUUGUGAUUUCAAUGCGAGUGAUCGGAACUUGGUUGAGUUAUUUUUCGUUUUGUUGUUUUGGAUACAUCUCAGUGAAGCACAACUCACUCGCCCAAAAAAGAAGACAUGAAUUGGUGAACAGAAACAUAAAAAAAAACAAUAAACAUCCUACCACACGUGUCCUUUUGUUUAAA